rnacentral:misc_RNA from 1 species
UUCAAGAUAUUCGCGAGCUUGAAUGCUGGGCUCUGUUGUUCACCAAGAAAAUAUGGCUAGAAAAUUAUUAUUAACGUUCAAUAGUACUCUACCCACAACAACUGCAAGUUCCGGAAUCAACUCUAUCCAACAGCUUUUUGCAUAUGGACAACAAACACCAGGAGCAAUACCCAUUGUUGUAGGUUUUCAAGAUAAGCUGAUUUGUACUGAUGGGAUGAAGAAAUGGACAAUGAUUUAGUAAAAGAGAUGCUCAAUUCAAAUAUUUUUAGCUACAAAUAUAAUUCGAAGAGCCAAGGUUUGCGAUUAAUCCAUUCGGAGCGACAACAGACUGAAAUUUAUUUCCAUGAAUUCUUUUAUGUCCAUUUUACAUAAUUCUUUGCGACUGACUGUACAGGUCUACAAAUGGGUCGAACGGUCCCAUCUAUGAAUCCCCCCACCCCAACAGUUGUUGAGCGGUGCGCCCUUAGUUUGAAUAACAUUAAAAAAUUCUUGAAGCUUAUCUGGAGCAAGUCAUGGCUGUUGGAGAGUUUCCAAAAGAUGGUUACAAUUGUCGUAAAUAAUGAUGUCCACGAUCUUGCACGUUGCCAAAAACAACUCUGUUAUGACCGACCGAAGUUUGGAACCAUGUCUGCAUAUCGACGUGAUACGCAAAACGAUUUAAAAAAAAACAUACAA